rnacentral:rRNA from 1 species
ACGGAGGAUCCGAGCGUUAUCCGGAUUUAUUGGGUUUAAAGGGAGCGUAGGCGGAAGUUUAAGUCAGUUGUGAAAGUUUGCGGCUCAACCGUAAAAUUGCAGUUGAUACUGGAUUUCUUGAGUGCGGUAUAGGUAGGCGGAAUUCGUGGUGUAGCGGUGAAAUGCUUAGAUAUCACGAAGAACUCCGAUUGCGAAGGCAGCUUACUGGACCGUAACUGACGCUGAUGCUCGAAAGUGCGGGUAUCAAACAGGAUUAGAUACCCUGGUAGUCCGCACAGUAAACGAUGAAUACUCGCGGUUGGCGAUAUACUGUCAGCCGCCAAGCGAAAGCGUUAAGUAUUCCACCUGGGGAGUACGCCGGCAACGGUG